UAUUGAAAUGAUGAUAUCGUUUUCCGAAUUUUUCAGUGUCGACUUUAAAAAACAGACUACAAUUAUCUGAUCUAUG
rfam:Glycine soja cultivar W05 scaffold1357_114, whole genome shotgun sequence.